rnacentral:rRNA from 1 species
CCUACGGGAGGCAGCAGUGGGGAAUAUUGGGCAAUGGGCGCAAGCCUGACCCAGCAACGCCGCGUGAAGGAUGAAGGUUUUCGGAUUGUAAACUUCUGUCGCGAGGGACGAAGAAUGACGGUACCUCGUAAGAAAGCCCCGGCUAACUACGUGCCAGCGGCCGCGGUAAUACGUAGGGGGCAAGCGUUGUCCGGAAUGACUGGGCGUAAAGGGAGUGUAGGCGGCUUAUGAAGUUAGAUGUGAAAUCCUGCGGCUUAACCGUGGAACUGCAUCGAAAACUGGUGAGCUGGAGUGCAGGAGAGGUGAGUGGAAUGCCUAGUGUAGCGGUGAAAUGCGUAGAUAUAUGGAAGAACACCAGUGGCGAAAGCGGCUCUCUGGUCUGUAACUGACGCUGAGGUUCGAAAGCGUGGGUAGCAAACAGGAUUAGAUACCCGGGUAGUC